AUCAACGCUGGCGGCGCACAUAAGACCUGCAAGUUGCACGGACUUAAUCGAAAUAUUUAUAUUUUGAAGCGGUUAGUGGCGGACUGGUGAGUAACGCGUAAGGAACCUGCCUAUUAGAGGGGAAUAACAGUGAGAAAUCAUUGCUAAUACCGCAUAUGCCAUAGAUAUCACAUGAUAACAGUGGGAAAGGAGCAAUCCGCUAAUAGAUGGCCUUGCGUCUGAUUAGAUAGUUGGUGGGGUAACGGCCUACCAAGUCGACGAUCAGUAGCCGGACUGAGAGGUGGACCGGCCACAUAGGGACUGAGAUACGGCCCAGACUCCUACGGGAGGCAGCAGGCGGGAAUAUUGCGGAAUGGAGGAAACUCUGACGAAGUGACGGCGCGUAGAGGAAGAAGGUUUUCGGAUUGUAAACUAUUGUCGUUAGGGAAGAGAAAGGACAGUACCUAAGGAGGAAGCUCCGGCUAACUACGUG
rnacentral:rRNA from 1 species